rnacentral:rRNA from 1 species
GACGAACGCUGGCGGCGUGCUUAACACAUGCAAGUCGAACGGAAAGGCCCUGCUUUUGCGGGGUGCUCGAGUGGCGAACGGGUGAGUAACACGUGAGUAACCUGCCCUUGACUUUGGGAUAACUUCAGGAAACUGGGGCUAAUACCGGAUUGGAGCUCCUGCUGCAUGGUGGGGGUUGGAAAGUUUCGGCGGUUGGGGAUGGACUCGCGGCUUAUCAGCUUGUUGGUGGGGUAGUGGCUUACCAAGGCUUUGACGGGUAGCCGGCCUGAGAGGGUGACCGGCCACAUUGGGACUGAGAUACGGCCCAGACUCCUACGGGAGGCAGCAGUGGGGAAUAUUGCACAAUGGGCGGAAGCCUGAUGCAGCAACGCCGCGUGCGGGAUGACGGCCUUCGGGUUGUAAACCGCUUUCGCCUGUGACGAAGCGUGAGUGACGGUAAUGGGUAAAGAAGCACCGGCUAACUACGUG